AGGGGCAGCAUCGCGAUAGCUUGCUAUAGCGGAUGGCGACCGGCGCACGGGUGAGUAACGCGUAUCCAACCUUCCCGCAACUGGGGAAUAACCUUGCGAAAGUAAGACUAAUACCCAAUGACGUCUCUAGAAGACAUCUGAAGGAGAUUAAAGAUUUAUCGGUGUACGAUGGGGAUGCGUCCGAUUAGCUUGACGGCGGGGUAACGGCCCACCGUGGCAUCGAUCGGUAGGGGUUCUGAGAGGAAGGUCCCCACAUUGGAACUGAGACACGGUCCAAACUCC
rnacentral:rRNA from 1 species